GACGAACGCUGGCGGCGCGCUUAACACAUGCAAGUCGAGCGAUGAAAUCUUAACAGAACCCUUCGGGGUGAAGAUAAGACGGAUUAGCGGCGGACGGGUGAGUAACACGUGAGUAACCUGCCUUUUACACAGGGAUAGCCUCAGGAAACCGGGAUUAAAACCUGAUGAAACUAUCAAAUCACAUGAUUAGGAAAGUUAAAACUCCGGUGGUAAAAGAUGGACUCGCGUCCCAUUAGCUAGUUGGUGAAGGUAACGGCCCACCAAGGCAACGAUGGGUAGCCGGCCUGAGAGGGUGAACGGCCACAUUGGAACUGAGAAACGGUCCAAACUCCUACGGGAGGCAGCAGUGGGGAAUAUUGCACAAUGGGGGAAACCCUGAUGCAGCGACGCCGCGUGAGCGAAGAAGGCCUUCGGGUCGUAAAGCUCUUUUAUAUGGGAAGAUAAUGACGGUACCAUAAGAAAAAGCCCCGGCUAACUACGUG
rnacentral:rRNA from 1 species